rnacentral:rRNA from 1 species
GGAUCAGUUCGCUGGUCGUGCCUCUGGUAUGUACUGGUGUUACUGGUUCCUCCCUUCUGACGAACUGUCAUGUCAUUUAUUUGGUGUGGCAGGGAAUCAGGACUGUUACUUUGAAAAAAUUAGAGUGUUUAAAGCAGGCUCGCGCUUGAAUACAUUAGCAUGGAAUAAUGGAAUAGGACAGUGGUUCUAUUUGUUGGUUUCUAGGACCGUUGUA